GACAGAGGUCCCGAGCGUUAGGCGGAAUCACUGGGCUUAAAGCGUGUGUAGGCGGAUGCCUAAGUACCUUGUGAAAUCCCACGGCUCACCCGUGGAACUGCUUGGUAUACUGGGUGUCUUGAGCCACUUAGGGGCUACCGGAACAAAUGGUGGAGCGGUGAAAUGCGUAGAUAUCGGGAGGAACAUCAGUGGCGAAGGCGGCUAUCUGGACCAACACUGACACUGAGGCACGAAAGCGUGGGUAGCAAACAGG
rnacentral:rRNA from 1 species